rnacentral:rRNA from 1 species
AACACGUGAGUAACCUGCCCUUGACUCUGGGAUAAGCCUGGGAAACUGGGUCUAAUACCGGAUAUGACUCCUCAUCGCAUGGUGGGGGGUGGAAAGCUUUAUUGUGGUUUUGGAUGGACUCGCGGCCUAUCAGCUUGUUGGUGAGGUAAUGGCUUACCAAGGCGACGACGGGUAGCCGGCCUGAGAGGGUGACCGGCCACACUGGGACUGAGACACGGCCCAGACUCCUACGGGAGGCAGCAGUGGGGAAUAUUGCACAAUGGGCGAAAGCCUGAUGCAGCGACGCCGCGUGAGGGAUGACGGCCUUCGGGUUGUAAACCUCUUUCAGUAGGGAAGAAGCGAAAGUGACGGUACCUGCAGAAGAAGCGCCGGCUAACUACGUGCCAGCAGCCGCGGUAAUACGUAGGGCGCAAGCGUUAUCCGGAAUUAUUGGGCGUAAAGAGCUCGUAGGCGGUUUGUCGCGUCUGCCGUGAAAGUCCGGGGCUCAACUCCGGAUCUGCGGUGGGUACGGGCAGACUAGAGUGAUGUAGGGGAGACUGGAAUUCCUGGUGUAGCGGUGAAAUGCGCAGAUAUCAGGAGGAACACCGAUGGCGAAGGCAGGUCUCUGGGCAUUAACUGACGCUGAGGAGCGAAAGCAUGGGGAGCGAACAGGAUUAGAUACCCUGGUAGUCCAUGCCGUAAACGUUGGGCACUAGGUGUGGGGGACAUUCCACGUUUUCCGCGCCGUAGCUAACGCAUUAAGUGCCCGGCCUGGGGGAGUACGGCCGCAAGGCUAAAACUCAAAGGAAAUUGACGGGGGCCCGCACAAGCGGCGGAGCAUGCGGAUUAAUUCGAUGCAACGCGAAGAACCUUACCAAGGCUUGACAUGAACCGGUAACGUCUGGAAACAGGCGCCCCACUUGUGGUCGGUUUACAGGUGGUGCAUGGUUGUCGUCAGCUCGUGUCGUGAGAUGUUGGGUUAAGUCCCGCAACGAGCGCAACCCUCGUUCCAUGUUGCCAGCGCGUAAUGGCGGGGACUCAUGGGAGACUGCCGGGGUCAACUCGGAGGAAGGUGGGGACGACGUCAAAUCAUCAUGCCCCUUAUGUCUUGGGCUUCACGCAUGCUACAAUGGCCGGUACAAAGGGUUGCGAUACUGUGAGGUGGAGCUAAUCCCAAAAAGCCGGUCUCAGUUCGGAUUGGGGUCUGCAACUCGACCCCAUGAAGUCGGAGUCGCUAGUAAUCGCAGAUCAGCAACGCUGCGGUGAAUACGUUCCCGGGCCUUGUACACACCGCCCGUCAAGUC